AACUCGGCUACUCUUGCACAGGGCGGAAGAAAGUUCUAGACUAGUCCCAAUUCCAACCGCUGGACGGCUCUGCUCCACGUUUCUCGGCAGCGCUGCCUCUCAGACAAAGCCGCCCUGUGCGCCCCGAGAGCCUUAGCCCGAGGAGAUGAAGUUUCUUCCUCCAACCUGAGGAGGAGAAAGAGCCUGAAACCAAUCAUUCGGAAGAAAGGCAAUGUUGGAAAGUUUCAACUGCCCCAUUAUCCGCCAGAGCAGGAAACAGGUUUCUUUCCAAUAAACUGAACUCCGAGGCUGGCCCUGGCCUGCAGCGGCAGCUGCUAUGGGCCAGCUGAGGAUAUGUGGAACCUUUAGACAGAAAUUUGGGAGGCCACAGAUCGCUCAGAUGUUAACCACUUGGAGCCAUGGUGAUGAAGCAGCCUAGAAGCCCCAGUUGAAUUCAUUAUUCAUGCCUACGACGGCAGACCCCACCCUAACAUUUGCAAGACCAAGGUUCAUCUACCCUAUCUUUAAAUUUUAUAGACACUAUACAAGCCAACAAAAUGAGUUUUUUUCUCCCUUGAGAAACAGGCUUCCUUAACAACCAGGAAGAGCAGCUUGGUAUGCAGAAAUCUCACACACUCAGGAGUUCGACCCUGUAACAGAAAGAGAGCAUGGGAUCACACAGCUCCAGUCAACAGGAGAGGCAUGGCACGUGUGUGCACACCUAUACCCACUCUGUCUGAUAAUUCAGACAGUCACCUUUAGGCUGCCACAGGGACUCAGAAGUGCUUGGUCCUACAUUGAGAGAACUAGAGGAAGAGGGUUUCUGUAAGGACCCCUGAAAAAUAUUGUUUCCAAGGUCACGUCCCAAAAAAUAUGUUGAUUUUCUCAAUAGGAAAUAUCUAAGUGUAUUUAUUAUACACUUCGAUAAGUGUGAACAGCAUCGGUUAAGACUUCUUGAAGAUUGAACUAAUACCUAAGCCCAAUAGUGUCUAGCAUCUACUAAUGCUUUCAAUGGCGAGAGAACUAUCAUGGAUCUGGAACUUGGCAUAUCCCUGGGAGGAAAGAAGACUUCAGACCUGGUGGUAACCUUGUGUGACUACAUAGACCUAGAAAUUUAUCUACCAUUCUAACGUGCUACCUAGAGAUGAAACAUGUGUGUUAUGAUCAGAAGGCAAAAGCCUCAAGGAAAACUUCCAAGUCACAGAAGGAUAUUGAAGGAUAGAAAUCACUGAGCUCACUGAGACCGUGGCUGAACUGUCAAUCAAGCCUCUGCACAUCUUACCCUCAAUGUGCCAAAAAGCCCCGACAAAAGCAACUUAAAGAAAAAAGAGUUUCUCCUGAUUCACAGUUCCAGAGGGAUGGAGUCCGUCGUGGUAGAAAAGACAUGGCGACCGUCAGGGAAAGCAUGGUGACCGGAGCAGGGGCUGACUGAUCAUGUCUCCAUCCACACAGAAGAAGCAGAAAGAGAGAGAACAGGAAGUGAGAAAAGGCUACAAACUCACAAAGCCCACCUCUGAGUCCCAUAACCUCAGCAAACAGCUCCAUCAACUGGAGAUCAAGUGUUCAAAUACAUGAGCCACUUGGGAACAUUUCUCAUUCAAACCAAGGUGGUCCAUAAGAACUUUCUGAAUGAUGAAUAGAUGAAUGGUUAAACAGAGAAUGAGUAUUUCUCCACUCAUUAACAUGUCGUUUCAUAGCUACCAAAUAUCCACAAUUAAAUAUGUCCCCGAUAACUUACACAACAUUUUUGUGUGAUGAACUGGACCCUCAGCUCAGUUGAGUGUGCCUUGAAACUUGUCACACUUCUUGAAAUGCUUUGACUGUCAGAUGCUGCUGCUGCUAGAUAAAAUGAUAAAACCGAAGCAGUCUGACUCCGUAGCCAGCCCCAAUCAGGAAAAUUACUCAUGUAGUUGAAAGCUGUUUGGCAGUAAAAGCCCUGUAUAUUAAAUUCUAAAUCCACUUAAUUAACUUCUCUAAUCUUCAUUAAAUAAAGCUCAGUCCACUUUGAUGGAAAUAUGUAAUAAAAACAAGCUCGCUGGCAACUCAUCCGAUAAUGUGUUAAGUCUUGAGCGCCUUCUGCCUAGGGCUCUGUCCAGCACUCUGACUCAUCUGUCUCUACCUUAGCCCGCUUCUUUCGUCAGCUGGGAAGAACUUCUGCCUUUAUUGUUGUUUUCUUUGCAUAGCCAAACCUUCCAUUCUCCACUGGAGCACAACCCUGAAAGGAAGGGAGGUGACAUCAGAGUCCUCACUAUAACAAAUCUAAACACUAUCAAAACUUUUCCAAUAUCAACUGAAGCAAUUUCAAUAAAAGCAACACAAACAUAACUUCCAACUAGUUCAAACUCGAAAAGAAAGAUAUUGGUCCGUGUCAAUAGGAAUGCUGCUUCAGGCAUAGCUGAAUCCAGAAUAGUUUGAACAAUGCUUUCUUCUAUUUCUUAGUUUAGUGUUAACUUUGUUCUCAAGCAAGAGACUUGCGCACCUGUAAAGGGGCAGCCAUUUCCCCACACAGUAUCCUCCCAUUGUAAAACCCCCUCACAAGAUAAAAUAAAAACAAAGCAGAAAUGCACAUCCCAGCACACUGAUAAGUGUUAGGAUUGGUCAGUCUUGAGGUACAGAUGCCUGAAGAGGGAAGGUGGAGAACGGACUAAAUCUACCCUUGCUGCAAAGGGCAGGCUGGAGGGAGAAAAGGUUCUCACUGAUGGUGAAAGAAAACAAAGCAAAGCUGUAUGCCACCCUGCUCUCAUUCCUAUUACCUUGUAUAUGGCAUAGACAAAACAACAAACUCAAAAUAGUUAAAUCUGGAUGACGAAGAUAUAGGUGAGCUUUAUGUUUUAAAAAAAUGUUAUUUGUUUUUUUAAAUGUAUAUAAACUAUGACUAUUAUUUUAACUUCA